UUGGAUUCAGUGUUUUUGCUAAUAGAGACGAUUGGACAUCAUAAAAGUCUAGAGUGCGGACAGUUGUAUUUUGCCGUAAACUAUUAACUUAAUUCUGAAAAUCGGCAAGACAAAUAAGAAAAUAAAAAUGCGAAUAUCACAGCAUUAAGAAACAAUAGAGAUCACAAAGCGGUUAGAAUAGAGUUCAUUAGCGUGAUAAAUUAAAUGAAAUUGAAAUAACAGGCAGAAAGCGGAGAUGCAAAAAAUCAAAUAAAAAGCAAAAAAAGUUGCCGAUACGUGGUUAAUCAGCCAACCGACCAACUAACCAAACCGGAUAGCACCAAACAAACGCCAAACCACCAUCUUAGAAUACUCCACGUCAAUCAUUGUGUGUUUCUUAUGUGUAGAGUUCUUCAGGCUGUCACACCAAUCAAUCUGUCAAACUUACUGAGAGAAUUUGACAAUAAUGUUGCAGACAGUAAGUUGAAAACGGCCGAUGUCAGACGUGUCGCUUUGGAAUUUUAAAAUCAAAUUCAUUGCAAACAAACACGUCUGAUGACAAAUAUUUUCGCCGUCGCAGCGCGAAAAGCUAACGAACUUUGCGAAAACGCCAACAACAACGGCAACAACAGGAACAGGAAUUUAGCAUAUAGCAGAGCAAAAAAUAUAAAACACGGAGAGGUAACACUCACGGCACCUGCACAUACAAUCGCACGUAAAAAUCCAUAAGCGAACGUACAACUACGAAAUCGCCAACACUUAACACACGAUUCACAUCCACCUACCUUCCCUCAUAUCGACACACACGCACGCUUGCAUCCUAAAGGCAAACAAAUUUCUAUUUUGUUGCUAUUGUAACUACUAGUGAUAAGAACGAACGCACAAAGUGGAAGCGAGCGAAAACGAAAGAAGUUAAAUAGUCAAAGCAGCAGGAAGAGUCAGGAGAGCGCACGUAUUAAUAUAAAUAAGCAUAACACAGGGAAGCGUAGUGUAGCGGACACAGCGUCACACACCUAGUUGAUUAAUUAAUUUAUUGUACGACCUUUUAGUAAGCGUGAACACAUUUUAAUACUUUGCCACAACUAGAAAGAAUUCGAGAUAGGUACCUGUGCAUUUUCUCUCAACUUGCCAAAAAGCAUAACAAAAAGUCAAAAAAUAAAUAAAACAACAAGACAACCAUAUUCCCUGCGUGUUCUGGUUGCCUGUCAGUAGAUAUUUAAGCAAAUAUCAUGACAUCAUACGCAACCGCAAAUGAUUCUAACAACACAGCGACAGCAACACCAACGGGCACAAUGGAUAACACAAAUGUGGCUAACGCUACAGCAGCGCUAGCGUCAAACGCGCUAACUACAGACACAUUGGCAGGUGCGGAGAAUGUCGACGGCACGCGCAACUUUCACGCAACUAUCGAUCGUUCGCCUUAUGAAAGCCCAACAACACCGUCAACGUAUGAUUGCGAUGUGCCACGGAAAUUAGGCGAAACAACGCUGCAGCAACAACAAUGCCAGUUGCAAGAUCAACAAUUGUUAGAUACGCCGACAAGCAAUUGUUGCACUGACUAUGAAUGUGAUUCGUUUUCGGACGGGCAUGAGAAGACCGAUACCACACCGGAAAAUUUGAAGAAGAUCGAUGAUGUCAUUGAGCAGCAAGCGCAGCUGCAACAGUUAAAAAACCGCUCAUCCUCGCAUUAUCUUGGCAAUACACAAGCAUUGGCAACUAAUGCUGACGCUUACGAUAGAGAUAUUAUUGGUGCUGGUUAUGGAGUUGGACUCGCUGUGGCGGUUGAUGACUCAAAUGCAAAAUUUUGCUUUGGCAAACCGCUUUGCAAUGAAAAAGAUAUGUUGAGCAAAAGCGAACGCAUAGAAAGCCAUGGCCACAGCAUCGACAGUUCGACAGUUGAUUUGGGCAAAAGUAAGCGCGUUGCCGAUGGUAACGGCAGUGACAGCGGUUGCGUUACACCGUCCACUAUGUCGGACAACAAUGUGGCGGCGCUCAACGCCAGCGGUGCAGACAAUAGCGAGCCGUUGGCGCACGACGAUGAUUCAUCCGCAUCCAAUGCCACUAAUACAACUACCACAACAGCAACAGCAAACAAACAGUCGUACGCUUUUACAAUUGAUAGCUUCAAUGAUAGCGGUUGUGAUCCUGAAGCGGCUAAAGCGCGUUACAAAAGCAUGAUGGAGCGUUUUCAGAGUCGUCACCGACGCGGCGCGUCCAUGUCGAAACUGGAAGCUGGCGAUGCGGCUGCCAACAAGGAAACCACAAUGACAAGCUCAGUGUCGGCAACACCGCUUAGUGGCAGCGCGCAUGCACGCCAGGCGCGUAACAGUGCGGGCGCCGCUGAUAACACCUACGAUAAUGGUGGCGGCGAUGCGUCGAAAGUGAAGCUGCGUGUGCGCGAUCGCAGCACAUCACGUGUACGCGACGCCAGCAAGCGACACAGUUGGUCACCGCGCUCCAGCACACAGGAGUCACAGUUGCAUGCGCACGGUCAGCAUGCCGUUGCGCAAACACCAACAGCGCCGCGUACUAGUCAACACAGCGCAAAUGAACGCGCGCAUACUGCACCGCAGAAGCCCUUACCGCCAACGCGCAAAAACGUCAGCAAGCAGAAACCACCGCCGCUGCAGCUGCCCAAAGGCGCUGCCAACCUAGUAGCGAAUCGCACACAAUUCACGCCGCGCUCGACCGCUAUGCAACUGGCCUUGCAGAAAGUGGACUUUCUGUGCGCGCAGCCGCCGCUCGCCGAACUGAAGAACUACAACCUGGAGGCGGAUAAUAUCAGUGAAACCGGCACAUAUACGUUGGACGGCGACAACUAUACGGAGGAGCAAAAGGAUCUGAUGAACAUCGACAAGAGCGCGCAACAGGCAUUGAAAGCGCAACAACAGCGUCCGAAGAAUUUGCAAUUGAGCAAUAGUGGCGUUGAUGUCGACACGCAGCUGAGUAACACGAAAAUCCCAGUGCAUGUGCACAAUCGCUCGAAUGUGCUCGAGGUGAAUUACUACCAUGACGCAGAAGCCGAACAGGGUCCGCAAUCACCGCGCGCAUACAACGAGCGCGAUCUUAUUUUGGGUGCGCAUGACUCGGCAGGCGCUUAUUUGGAGAAGAUAAAGUCGCGCGUGCUGCGCAACGCCACGGCGACAAAGUCUGCACCAACGCAGGCUGAAAUCGGGCAGAAAACACCAACAGAAGACGAUGGCGAUUUGGGUUGCUUCACCAGCGUCACAACCAGCGGUGUGCUGGCCAAAAAGAGCGCGCUUGAUCCACGUCCGCGUUUGACGCGCAAGUCUGGCUUGUCCACGUCACAAAUUGACUCCUCCGAGUAUGUGAGUAAUGAGAUGAAACUGAAGGCGAAUACAGCCAGCGCGUACGCGGGCGGUGGCUUCACUGAUCAUCAGAAAGCUGAGUAUCGUUUGAAUCUGUUCACCAAUCAAAAGGAUAAUACGCAAGCGAAAUUUGCGGCGACACGCAGUUACAUCGAAUCGCCACCGGACACACCGACACACCAAAAGCUAUCCGAUGCAGCGGUGCUGAAGACGGCACAAACCAAAAACGAUUGGAUACAGGAGUGGGCACGCAAUGCGCGAGCACGCAGCCUCGCCUCAGACACGUCCAAAACUCGCAUACACACAGACGCGUCGCAGACAGCGUUGAUGACGCGCAGCUAUACGUGCGCUUCCGAUACAGCUGCCGGUGCUGAUUCGCUAACCGACGAUAGCAUUUACAAUAGCAAACAGUGCAUCAGCGUUGCCAAGCUGAAUCGCAGUCUUGCCGAGCGUUAUCGCUUGUCGGGCGAAUGUGACUAUUCGAGCGAUCCAACGUUGUCGAGCGGCGCGUACAGCAGCGGUGGACAGCCGGUCGAGGGCAUUUGCAAGCCACCAAAGAGUCCUUCGAAAAUACCCUCACCGCUGCAUUCAAUUGGUCGUGCGCGCAGUGCAAGUCGUACGCGUGCGCCGCUACAGAAUGUGAUGUUACAGGGUGGCGUUGGCGACGAAGAGGCGGAUAUUUAUUUGCAAAAGACAGCGGCUGCUAUUAGCAAUUUACAGCAGUCGCUUUCGCGCAAGAAUUCACUAAAAUCGCCGCCAACUACACAUUCUUCAGCGUCGCCACGUGCGCACUCGGCACGCUCGCAUGCUCAUUCCUCGGCGUUGUACUCGCCGCCAGACGACUGCGGCAGUCCACAGCACGGUUUGGGCUCGCCCACAUCUGCGGCCAGCGGCAGCGCUUACCAUCACUCACCGUUGCAUCGGCGCGUCGCUGCGAAUGAUCCCUACAGUCGCAAUGCACAGCAUUUGCAGCUGAUGACGAGCAGCUUCAAUGAGCAGCAAUUGAAGUUGCUCACCAGCGGUGAAUACUUGGCGCGGCAAAUGCGUGCGCGCAAGAACUCCUUCGAUGGCAACAUCAGCAAUUCGCCAGCACGCCGCGCGGCCGUAGCGGCGGCCAAUGCACAAGCGCAAGCGCAGGCCGGGCAAAGCGGUCAGGAGUCGCCAUUACGUCGUUCCAGUUCGUUCUCGGCGAAAAUAGCGACAACUCAACGUGCGGCGCGUCCACAAUUCUCCAACAUCUACACACCGCCGGCUGCGCGACAUAAUUAUUCGCUGGUUGGCGGCGGUGAUGGGCAAUCCGCGGCGGCGGCAGCGCACAAAAAUGCUAGCAUUAUUAAAAAAUCGGCGAGCAGCAAUAAUUUCCGGCAUGCCAUCGGUGAUUACGAUGAAAAUUUCCAAUAUUACAUAAACGAUGAGGAUGACAUGGGCGAAGAGUAUUAUUCAAGUGGUGCUGAGGAAGUCGAGGAAGAGGAGGAAGACGACAAUGACCACUACUACCACCAACACGACGAUGAUGAUGUGCCAGCGGAAGUGGAGAACACGACCGCAGUGCCGCUCUCCAAUACGCGUUUGAAUAAAGCGCUACUGAUGCGUAUCGAACGUAGCAAACAACGUGUAAGCGGCGGUGCCGCCACAGGCAAGCCAACUUCUGCGCCUGUAACGCGUUUGCAACAACAGCAAGCUGCCGGCUCAUGCGGCGUUAUGGCAUGCCCGAACACGCCCGAGUUACCGCGGCGUGGCAUACGCAGUGCGCCACGUUCCGGUGGCGCCGCAACGACGCGUCAGUCAGUGCCGCGUGACACCAGUCUCAGUCGUUUGGCAUCACAGGUACCCAACUCGUUGGCCUCGGCCAAGAAGCAAUUGCUACAAACCGCCGCCGCUGUGCCAUCCACAACGAAGCUGUCGAAUCAGCGGGUGCAACCGAAGUAUUUGGACAUAUCGAAGUACAAGCCGGCGCAGGGCAAUAAUUUUCUACGCAAGAACGAUUCCAAAAGCACACUGAAAACGUCCGCAUUGAGCGGCGACAUGAUGAAACGCAGUCCGAGUAGCUCAUCGAUGGGGUUGAGUCGUGCGGAUCCGACACGCACCAGCAAUCGCAGUGUACGCUCGGUGGCCUCGUGCAUGACCACAAGCGGCACUACGCUUGGCGGUGGUGGUGGCGGUGGUAUGAACGGCGGUCGUGCCUCAUCAGCGGUGCGUAGAGACCAGUCGGUGACCAAACAAAAGGAGGCAGAAAUGGCCAUGUGGAAGCGUCGCUCCACGUACGAUCCCAUGAAGGCGGCAGCCGAAGAUCGCCGCAAGAAAGAGGAAGCCAAACGCUUGGCGCUCGCCAAGAAUAUGGGCGAAAUGCCGUGCGAGAGGCCAUCUAGAUCUCCCUACCGUCGUGGACAAUUAUGACCGGAAGGGUUGCUCAUAACCGAUCUCUAAGCGUAACCACUGCAAAUAUAAGCAAGAAAGAAAAACAAAAAUUAUUCCUAUUUGCCAUUGUUACCACCACAAAUUCCAUCCAAGUCAAACAGCAUUAACAACAACAAUGAAAAAUGAAAAUUACAUGUAAAACAUUAGUCACCGGCUCCUUGCAAAUUGCUGGCGUCGCGCACCGUACAAAGAUCACUGCAAGUGAUUAGCGCUGGUUAUACCAAUUGAUUUGGCAAUUAGCGGCGGUAAUGCAACCAGUUGGCAAUUGCUGUGCGAGGUGCUAAAUGCAAGGAGUUUAGUGUGUCUGAAGUGCAUGCAACGAAUGAAAAACAAAAAAACAAGAAAAUAAACGAAGGUACUCAAGCCAUGCGGCGUGAAGGGAAAACUACGCCUAACAAAUGUAACAUUUAACUGCAAAAUAAAAAAAAAAAAUUAACGCGACAAUACGAAAAUCAAAGCUACCAACAAAAACAAAAAAAAAACCGAUUAAGCGAAGCGAGCAAGCAAACGAGCGAAGAAGCGAAUUCGAAAACUAAGAACGUCAAUACAGGGAACGUGAUAUGCAUAUGUACAUAUAUACAAAUAGAGAGGAGAGAGAGUGCAAGAAAGAGAGAGUGAGGAUGUGCAAGCAAUCGCAGUGUCAACGGCAGCAUACUUUUAGGCGUUACACAUACGCGUACUUGCCAAACAAAUUGUUGUGAACGUCAACGUACGAGUAAUUCAAAUCCAUUCAAAUACGCAACUUUAAGGCAACGGCAUGCUGCAGCACGUACGCCACCGCCAUUCAAGCAACAACUAUCGCUGGACGAACAAUGGACCGAGUAUGGUGAGGACGAGUGCGUCUAAGGCGCGGGGAAGUGGAGGGACAUGAUUUAGUGCACCAGCAGCGUCCAGUGAAGAGCAGCUAAUUUUAUGAGCGACGAACAAAUGCGUUUAAAAAAGCUUUUGAAAAGUGAUACAUAGGAUCUACUAUUAAAAAA
rnacentral:misc_RNA from 1 species